rnacentral:rRNA from 1 species
UAGGGAAUAUUCCACAAUGAGCGAAAGCUUGAUGGAGCGACACAGCGUGCACGAUGAAGGUCUUAUGGAUUGCAAAGUGCUGUUGCAAGGGAAGAAAAAGUAGUUGAGGAAAUGCUUCUACAUUGACGGUACCUUGUUAGAAAGCGAUGGCUAACUAUGUGCCAGCAGCCGCGGUAAUACAUAGGUCGCAAGCGUUAUCCGGAAUUAUUGGGCGUAAAGCGUUCGUAGGCUGUUUAUUAAGUCUGGAGUCAAAUCCCAGGGCUCAACCCUGGCUCGCUUUGGAUACUGGUAAACUAGAGUUGGAUAGAGGUAAGCGGAAUUCCAUGUGAAGCGGUGAAAUGCGUAGAUAUAUGGAAGAACACCAAAGGCGAAGGCAGCUUACUGGGUUUAUACUGACGCUGAGGAACGAAAGCGUGGGGAGCAAACAGGAUUAGAUACCCUGGUAGUCCACGCCGUAACGAUGAUCAUUAGUCGGCAGAGAACUGUUGACGCAGCUAACGCAUUAAUGAUCCGCCUGAGUAGUAUGCUCGCAAGAGU